rnacentral:rRNA from 1 species
UACAGAGGUCCCAAGCGUUGUUCGGAUUCAUUGGGCGUAAAGGGCGCGUAGGCGGACUCGCCAGUCUGUGGUGAAAGCCCCCAGCUUAACUGGGGAAGUGCCGUGGAUACUGCGAGUCUGGAGGAGGGUAGGGGCAUCUGGAACGCUGGGUGGAGCGGUGAAAUGCGUUGAUAUCCAGCGGAACUCCGGUGGCGAAGGCGAGGUGCUGGACCCUUUCUGACGCUGAGGCGCGAAAGCCAGGGGAGCAAACGGG